AUUCUUACUAUGGAUUAGGAAGUAGAAAGAAACUUAAGUUCACCUGUUAUCUCAACACCUAGGUAUACCACUGCCAGCAUUUUGGUACUUGUGCUUGCUUUGUGUGUGUGUGUUUCUAAAGUGUGGCUCGUAUCAUUAUACUGUUUGUAACCUGCCUUUUUUUCAUUUACCAGGCAGUGAGAAAGCUUUUCCCUGCCAUUAAAUACUCUUUCAUAAUAUGAAUUUUGGUGUCUGUGUAACAUUUUAUCGUGUGGGUGUAACUACUAUCAUUGUCUCAGAAUUAUAAACCAUACCACUGUGAACAUACUUGGUACAUAAGUCAUUCAACAAAUGUUCUUAUUUCCUUAGCAGGGAGUUCCUAGGUCAAAGGACAUGAAUACUUUGAGAAUUUUUGCUACUUACUGCCAAAAUAGCCUUAUUUAUAGGUUUUUUCCUUUUUCUUUGGUCAGUUACCCAUUUGUGUUCUUCACCCUUUGUGAUUGUGUUGGUUAAAAUGCAGCUAUUUUAACAAAUUGCUAUUGCAUGCUGAAGAUUCUCGAGUCCCUGCCAGGCGGUGAGGUCCUGAGGUUGUGUUUGCAAUGUCUGGGUGGACUUCGUUUUUGUUGGAGGAUCUUGAGUGCCUUUUGGGGAUCUCUCCAGCAGGACUGCCUGAGGGAAUCGUAGUGGGGUUAGAGAACAAGGCAGCCAUUAGGGGCAGGGCCUGGCUGUGGCCGGGAGUCCAGCUCUGGCCUGGGCUCUGUCCCCAUGUCGGCAGCGGGAGCUUUUGUGGACCCAACCAUCCGGAGGUCACAGUCAGCUUCCAUGUGAAGGUUUGCAGUCCGUUCAGAAUUCAAGAGCGAACCCUCCAGACUGCUGGGAGAUGUGCCUGAGGAGGGCAAUGGUCUGCGGGGGGUCCCCCGUCCUCCUCCCGAUCCCCAUUCCCUAGCUAGAGCUUGUAUAAUAGAAGAAGGAAAUGCAGGAUGUGGAAGCUCUGGUGGCCCCCAGGUGGGUGGGACUUGACAGGUUACCGGCUCUUCCUCUUUCUGUUUCUCUUUCUUGUCCUCUCCAUGCCCGAGAUGCUCACGUUUUGUGGGGUGGGAGAGUGGCCAGGAUAGACCCUUUUUCCGGUAACUAAACUUCUUGCGGGCAGACACAGCGUUUGAGUUUUCGCAUUGGCUUCAAACAAACCCAGUGGAAGUGGACAGUGAACAAGACACCCCCGCAGGAGGCCCGGGCACGGGGUGUGGCUGCCAGGCCUGGCCAUGGAAGGCCAUCACUGUGGGCUCUUCUGGGAGUGGCACUGACAGCCAGCAAGGAGAAUGGGUGCUGGGGCGGAGUGGAAGAAGGUGAGCUUGAGGCCGGAGUUCCUACCCCAGGAGGCACCGUCAGCGUCCCACUUCUGCUCGUGUGAUCCCCUGGAGGCACCUGAAUCAGGCAGUAAACAUGGAGUGAGAAACACCGGAGUAGAAGACCUUGCAACAGCACAUGUGUGGGCCCAGUUCCUAGCUGCCCCGGGUGGCCAAGGCCACAUCCUGUACACACAGGUCUGGGAGUGUCUGCAUUUCAGCCCUUGACCGUGAACUUGACCCUCUGGAGGUGUCCAUCUUGAUGUGAUCCUCUGACUGCAACCUCAUCCUCUGCCUCUCAGAGCUGCCUCCCCCUGUGGCUUCUUGCCCUGAGGCAUGGGAGGCGUUGGUGCCAGGAGCUUGGGGUUUGAGUCAGGUUGGCUCGGGGAUAAGACCCAGCCUUUCCACACAUUAGUUUGUGAUGCUGGGUCAUAGUGCGUCUGUUUGCUCCCUGUCAAGGGACCAGUAACAUGAGGGGUCAGAGAAGGGAUCAGAACUCUCGUGGGCCUCCAGUGUGUCGCAAGUUUUUGCUGUUCUGCUUUUCCUCAGCUGCUGGUGGGAAUGCAAAUUGCUGUGCUGACUUUGGAAAAACUCUCCGGCAGUAAAGCCUAAAGUUCCACAUCCACACACCGUACUGUGGCCCAGCUGAUUUCUCUCCUAAGGGUAUCCCGGAGUAACUUCUGCACAUGGAUGCCUGGGACUUUACAGCCCUUCUGCACACAAUAACAGAAACCUGGAAGCCACCCAGAUGCCCAUCAGUGGGAGAAGGGAUGAAUACACGAAGACACGAUCACACAAUGGAAUAUUAUACAGCUGUCCAAACACAUUAACUGCAGCAUAACUUCAGUGAUGUAGGUGGAUUCUGGCAAUAUCAUAAAUAUUAGUAAAAAUAGCAUGUUCCCAAUGAUGACUUACAGCACUAUGCCUUUUAAAAAUAAAGUUAAAAGCAACUACAAUGACUGUACUCUCUAGGAAAAUUUACAGGUGCAAUAAAACUACAUAAAAAAGAG
rnacentral:lncRNA from 1 species